AUGUACUGAAGUACAUUGCGGUUCCUGUGCUCCGGCCGCCCCAAGCUGACAGGCGCUCGCGACGCUUUGAGAACC
rnacentral:sRNA from 1 species